CCUACGGGUGGCAGCAGUGGGGAAUAUUGCACAAUGGGGGAAACCCUGAUGCAGCGACGCCGCGUGAGUGAAGAAGUAUUUCGGUAUGUAAAGCUCUAUCAGCAGGGAAGAAAUAGCGACCUUUGGGUCGCCAGCCGGUACAUGAUUAAGAAGCCCCGGCUAACUACGUGCCAGCAGCCGCGGUAAUACGUAGGGGGCAAGAGUUAUCCGGAUUUACUGGGUGUAAAGGGAGCGUGGACGGCAGCGCAAGUCUGAAGUGAAAUGCCGGGGCUUAACCCCGGAACUGCUUUGGAAACUGGGCGACUAGAGUGCAGGAGAGGUAAGUGGAAUUCCUAGUGUAGCGGUGAAAUGCGUAGAUAUUAGGAAGAACACCAGUGGCGAAGGCGGCUUACUGGACUGUAACUGACGUUGAGGCUCGAAAGCGUGGGUAGCAAACAGGAUUAGAUACCCGGGUAGUC
rnacentral:rRNA from 1 species